rnacentral:lncRNA from 1 species
CUGGCUGGGCUGAACUUGGUUGGGCUAUCACACAUCAUCUGUAGAAUUAUGGAAAACAUGAGAAAAUGGUGUAUCAGCUGAGAUCUUGAAAGAUGAGAUAAAGUCUGUAAGAGAUCUGUAUCGUUAUAACCACAGCAGUGAGACAUAAAAGCCAUGUAGAACAGCAGCAUAAAGAAGGGAAUUGACAAUUUGAAGCAGCUAAACCAUAAUCUUGAGAGAGUAUCGGAUAUAGGGUCUUGAAUAAUGAGUCUUGUAUAAAAUGGCAGCUGAUUUGUUCAAUGUCAAGCCCA